CCUACGGGUGGCUGCAGUGGGGAAUAUUGGACAAUGGGCGCAAGCCUGAUCCAGCCAUGCCGCGUGAGUGAUGAAGGCCUUAGGGUUGUAAAGCUCUUUUGCCGGGGACGAUAAUGACGGUACCCGGAGAAUAAGUCCCGGCUAACUUCGUGCCAGCAGCCGCGGUAAUACGAAGGGGACUAGCGUUGUUCGGAAUCACUGGGCGUAAAGCGCACGUAGGCGGAUAUGUCAGUCAGGGGUGAAAUCCCGGGGCUCAACCUCGGAACUGCCUUUGAUACAGCAUGUCUUGAGUCCGAUAGAGGUGGGUGGAAUUCCUAGUGUAGAGGUGAAAUUCGUAGAUAUUAGGAAGAACACCGGUGGCGAAGGCGGCCCACUGGAUCGGUACUGACGCUGAGGUGCGAAAGCGUGGGGAGCAAACAGGAUUAGAUACCCCAGUAGUC
rnacentral:rRNA from 1 species